rnacentral:rRNA from 1 species
UACGUAGGUGGCAAGCGUUGUCCGGAUUUAUUGGGCGUAAAGCGCGCGCAGGUGGUUCGUCGCGUCCGGGGUGAAAUCUCCUGGCUCAACUGGGAGGGGUCUUCGGAUACGGGCGGACUUGAGGAGAGCAGAGGUAGGCGGAAUGCUGGGUGUAGUGGUGAAAUUCGUAGAUAUUCGGAAGAACACCAGUGGCGAAGGCGACUCACUGGACACAUAUUGACGCUGAGGUGCGAAAGCGUGGGGAGCAAACAGG